rnacentral:rRNA from 1 species
UACAGAGGUCUCAAGCGUUGUUCGGAUUCACUGGGCGUAAAGGGUGCGUAGGUGGCCAGGUAAGUUCGGUGUGAAAGCUCGGAGCUUAACUCCGAAAUGGCAUUGAAUACUAUCUGGCUAGAGGGUCGGAGGGGAGACUGGAAUUCUCGGUGUAGCAGUGAAAUGCGUAGAUAUCGAGAGGAACACCAGUGGCGAAGGCGAGUCUCUGGACGACUCCUGACACUGAGGCACGAAAGCCAGGGGAGCAAACAGG